UACGGGGGGGGCAAGCGUUGUUCGGAAUUACUGGGCGUAAAGGGCGUGUAGGUGGCCAACUAAGUCCGACGUGAAAUCCCCAGGCUUAACCUGGGAACUGCGUCGGAUACUGGAUGGCUUGAAUUCGGGAGAGGGAUGCAGAAUUCCAGGUGUAGCGGUGAAAUGCGUAGAUAUCUGGAGGAAUACCGGUGGCGAAGGCGGCAUCCUGGACCGACACUGACGCUGAGGCGCGAAAGCUAGGGGAGCAAACGGG
rnacentral:rRNA from 1 species